rnacentral:rRNA from 1 species
AUUGAACGCUGGCGGCAGGCCUAACACAUGCAAGUCGAGCGGAUGAAGGGAGCUUGCUCCUGGAUUCAGCGGCGGACGGGUGAGUAAUGCCUAGGAAUCUGCCUGGUAGUGGGGGAUAACGUCCGGAAACGGGCGCUAAUACCGCAUACGUCCUGAGGGAGAAAGUGGGGGAUCUUCGGACCUCACGCUAUCAGAUGAGCCUAGGUCGGAUUAGCUAGUUGGUGGGGUAAAGGCCUACCAAGGCGACGAUCCGUAACUGGUCUGAGAGGAUAAUCAGUCACACUGGAACUGAGACACGGUCCAGACUCCUACGGGAGGCAGCAGUGGGGAAUAUUGGACAAUGGGCGAAAGCCUGAUCCAGCCAUGCCGCGUGUGUGAAGAAGGUCUUCGGAUUGUAAGGCACUUUAAGUUGGGAGGAAGGGCAGUAAGUUAAUACCUUGCUGUUUUGACGUUACCAACAGAAUAAGCACCGGCUAACUUCGUG